UUCAGAAUCUGUUUUUGGCACGUCGUUCGAGCUUGGCAGCGUUCCGAGGCCGUUCGAAAGGGAAAAGCUCCAGCACAGUGAUUUGGAGCCCGCGUGUUUGGCCUACAGGACCGAGUACCAGCUACUGUCACGAAUAGAUCGAGCUUGUUGCAGUCAGAUUCGGAGACUAGGGUGAUAACUUGGCGUUUUUGGAUCACUUCUGUCUCCUUCAAAAUGGAUGGCCCGUCUUUUGCCUUUUGAGACUAGCCAGUUAUUGUAUAUAUAUGUCCGGUCCACUUUCGAGACUUGUACUCGUCUUUUAUUUUAUAGCAGCUCUGUACUUGUGACUUCCAGGUUCUGGGAGGGAUCUUUAGUUGUUUAAAACAUGUUUUGGUUUACUUCCGCUUAUUCAUUUUGUUUACUUUUAUAAUUCAAUGCUCUUAUAUAGUUUUUGCCUUCAAACACAUUACUUGAAGUUCCGGGUUGACGGGUUGGCUUACCUACU